UGCAAGUCGAACGAUGAAAUCCUCUGCUUGCAGAGGAUGGAUUAGUGGCGAACGGGUGAGUAACACGUGGGUAACCUGCCCAUAAGAGGGGGAUAACAUUCGGAAACGGAUGCUAAUACCGCAUAGGUCUUUGAGACGCCUGUCUCUUAGAUGAAAGGUGGCUUCGGCUGCCGCUUAUGGAUGGACCCGCGGCGUAUUAGCUAGUUGGUGAGGUAAUGGCUCACCAAGGCUGUGAUACGUAGCCGACCUGAGAGGGUGAUCGGCCACACUGGGACUGAGACACGGCCCAGACUCCUACGGGAGGCAGCAGUAGGGAAUCUUCCACAAUGGGUGAAAACCUGAUGGAGCAAUACCGCGUGAGUGAAGAAGGUCUUCGGAUCGUAAAGCUCUGUUGUUAGAGAAGAACAAGUCGGGUAGUAACUGCCCCGACCUUGACGGUAUCUAACCAGAAAGUCACGGCUAACUACGUGCCAGCAGCCGCGGUAAUACGUAGGUGACAAGCGUUGUCCGGAUUUAUUGGGCGUAAAGCGAGCGCAGGCGGUCUUUUAAGUCUGAUGUGAAAGCCCACGGCUCAACCGUGGAGGGUCAUUGGAAACUGGAAGACUUGAAUGCAGAAGAGGAAAGUGGAAUUCCAUGUGUAGCGGUGAAAUGCGUAGAUAUAUGGAGGAACACCAGUGGCGAAGGCGACUUUCUGGUCUGUAAUUGACGCUGAGGCUCGAAAGCGUGGGGAGCGAACAGGAUUAGAUACCCUGGUAGUCCACGCCGUAAACGAUGAGUGCUAAGUGUUGGAGGGUUUCCGCCCUUCAGUGCUGGAGCUAACGCAUUAAGCACUCCGCCUGGGGAGUACGGCCGC
rnacentral:rRNA from 1 species